AGUGAACGCUGGCGGUAGGCCUAACACAUGCAAGUCGAACGGCAGCACAGUAAGCGCUUGCUCUUACGGGUGGCGAGUGGCGGAGGGGUGAGGAAUACAUCGGAAUCUACUUUUUCGUGGGGGAUAACGUAGGGAAACUUACGCUAAUACCGCAUACGACCUACGGGUGAAAGCAGGGGAUCUUCGGACCUUGCGCGAUUGACUGAGCCGAUGUCGGAUUAGCUCGUUGGCGGGGUAAAGGCCCACCAAGGCGACGCUCCGUAGCUGGUCGGAGAGGAUGGUCGGCCGCCCGGGAACGGAGACACGGUCCAGACUCCUACGGGAGGCAGCAGUGGGGAAUAUUGGACAAUGGGCGCAAGCCUGAUCCAGCCAUACCGCGUGGGUGAAGAAGGCCUUCGGGUUGUAAAGCCCUUUUGUUGGGAAAGAAAAGCAGCAGGUUAAUACCCCGCUGUUCUGACGGUACCCAAAGAAGAAGCACCGGCUAACUUCGUG
rnacentral:rRNA from 1 species